UCCUGAAACUGGAUGCCUACAAACAGUUGGAGCCCAAGGUUCGUCCUGGGUGACAGCGUACCUUUUGUAUAAUGGGUCAGCGACUUAAUUUAUCGAGCAAGCUUAAGCCGUUAGGUGUAGGCGUAGCGAAAGCGAGUCUUAAUAGGGCGCCUGAGUUCGUUGAAUUAGACCCGAAACCGAGUGAUCUAGGUAUGAGCAGGUUGAAGGUGCAGUAACAUGCACUGGAGGACCGAACCCACGCCUGUUGAAAAAGGCGGGGAUGACUUGUGCCUAGGGGUGAAAGGCCAAUCAAACUCGGAAAUAGCUGGUUCUCCGCGAAAUCUAUUUAGGUAGAGCGUUAGACGAAUACCAUCGGGGGUAGAGCACUGGAUGGGCUAGGGGGUCUCACCGACUUACCAAACCUAACCAAACUCCGAAUACCGAUGAGUAAUAUCUGGCAGACACACUACGGGUGCUAAGGUCCGUAGUGGAAAGGGAAACAGCCCUGACCGCCAGCUAAGGUCCCUAAGUUAUGGCUAAGUGGGAAAGGAUGUGAGAGUGCAUAGACAACCAGGAUGUUGGCUUAGAAGCAGCCAUCAUUUAAAGAAAGCGUAACAGCUCACUGGUCAAGCGCUCUUGCGCCGAAAAUGUACCGGGGCUAAAGCCAUACACCGAAGCUGCGGAUGCACAUUUAUGUGCGUGGUAGCGGAGCGUUCUGUAAGCCUGUGAAGGGUGACCCGCGAGGGCACUUGGAGGUAUCAGAAGUGAGAAUGCUGACAUGAGUAGCGAUAAAGAGGGUGAGAGACCCUCUCGCCGAAAGACCAAGGGUUCCUGCGUAAAGCUAAUCUGCGCAGGGUUAGUCGGCCCCUAAGGCGAGGGCGAAAGCCGUAGUCGAUGGGAAGCAGGUUAAUAUUCCUGCACCUGGAGGUAGUGACGAAUCCCGUGUGUUGUUCAUCCUUAUUGGAUUGGAUGGGCCGCGAAGGGGUUCCAGGAAAUAGCUCCUCCAUUAUAGACCGUACCCCAAACCGACACAGGUGGUCUGGUAGAGUAUACCAAGGCGCUUGAGAGAACGAUGUUGAAGGAACUCGGCAAAAUGCUCCCGUAAGUUCGCGAGAAGGGAGACCUCCACUUAGGCAACUAGGUGGGGGUGGCACAGACCAGGGGGUGGCGACUGUUUACUAAAAACACAGGGCUCUGCGAAGCCGCAAGGCGACGUAUAGGGUCUGACGCCUGCCCGGUGCUGGAAGGUUAAAUGGAGGGGUGCAAGCUCCGAAAUGAAGCCCCAGUAAACGGCGGCCGUAACUAUAACGGUCCUAAGGUAGCGAAAUUCCUUGUCGGGUAAGUUCCGACCUGCACGAAUGGCGUAACGACUUCCCCGCUGUCUCCAACAUCGACUCAGCGAAAUUGAAUUCCCCGUGAAGAUGCGGGGUUCCUGCGGCUAGACGGAAAGACCCCGUGCACCUUUACUACAGCUUCACAGUGGUGUUAGUGACGGCAUGUGUAGGAUAGGUGGUAGGCUUUGAAACUUGGGCGCCAGCUCAGGUGGAGCCACCCUUGAAAUACCACCCUUAUCUUCAUUGACAUCUAACCGCGGCCCGUUAUCCGGGUCCGGGACCCUGUGUGGUGGGUAGUUUGACUGGGGCGGUCGCCUCCCAAAGAGUAACGGAGGCGCGCGAUGGUAGGCUCAAGCUGGUCGGAAAUCAGCUGUUGAGUGCAAUGGCAUAAGCCUGCCUGACUGCGAGACUGACAAGUCGAGCAGAGACGAAAGUCGGUCAUAGUGAUCCGGUGGUCCCGCAUGGAAGGGCCAUCGCUCAACGGAUAAAAGGUACGCCGGGGAUAACAGGCUGAUGAUGCCCAAGAGUCCAUAUCGACGGCAUUGUUUGGCACCUCGAUGUUGGCUCUUCGCAAACUAAAGCGGGUACGUGAGCUGGGUUUAGAACGUCGUGAGACAGUUCGGUCCCUAUCUACCGUGGGUGUAGGAGAAUUGAGAGGAUCUGCCCCUAGUACGAGAGGACCGGGGUGGACGUACCUCUGGUGGACCAGUUGUCGUGCCAACGGCACAGCUGGGUAGCUAUGUACGGACUGGAUAACCGCUGAAAGCAUCUAAGCGGGAAACCAACCUCGAAACCAGUUCUCCCUUGAGAACCGUGGAAGACGACCACGUUGAUAGGCCAGGUGUGUAAGUGCAGCAAUGUAUUGAGCUUACUGGUACUAAUCGUUCGAUUGGCUUGAUUACUCUCAUUU
rnacentral:rRNA from 1 species